rnacentral:precursor_RNA from 1 species
AUAGGGAUCCCUUGAAAAUAUGGGCAUGCGUAAUCUGGAUGGAUGUGCACAUUUCAAGGAGAAAAAAAAGGAGAGAGAGAGAGAGGAGCUGAGGAUAUGUUCGAUGCUGCAACCUGCGGCCGUUUCUGUCAUGGAAGAAAAGCUUUGGAUCCACCAGCUCGUUUCUGUACUUGGACAGUAUAAAUAGCCGAAGGGCACGCAGAGCGUUGCAUCCAAUCCAAGGCCACAGAUUUGUGUGUGUGCAGUGUGCUAGAGAGUGGCGAUAAGAGUCUGUCCAGAUAGCCAAGGAUGACUUGCCUGUGGCUUCUUGGCUUGGCUUGGCUCGGGCAAAACCUUGUGCACGUUUUAUUGCUCGCCUCGUGGCCUCGAUCACAGGCAGUCUCCUUGGCUAGUCCGGGCGGGCCCCUUAUCUGAAACCGAUCCCUGGUUCAUUCAUAUAUCGGUGAGCGUGCGACCGAGGGAAAGCAUAUAUGCGGUGCAGGUGCAGGUGCAGGCGUGACAGCUACUAGCUCUGGGCAGAGGACUGGCCUGGCAUGGCGAUGGAAGCUCUGCUUCGGUAGCCAAGGAUGAGCUGCCUGUGGCCUCCUGCUGCGGACGUUGCGUGGCCCCGCCUCCACCGCGUGCGGUCCCCGCAGGCAGCCUCCUUGGCUAGUCUGAGCGGCUUCCAUCCUCCAUGCUAGGCUCAUCUCCUCUUCAGUUAAUCUGUAAAUGCAGCAGCUUUGCUUUAAAGUCGUGGCACGUCAUCAGAAGCAGUGCAUCACACGUUGUUUAAUU